CUCUAGAGAUUUUGAUUCACUUUGUUUUUCUUAACCAGAGACUGAAAAAUCCCUAAAAGCCAUCACUCAUUUAGAUCCAAAUACCCAGAACUGCAUAAAAUUUCUGCCACCAAACCCCCCAGAUUUAUAAAAGCCAGUAAGCUAUUACUAGAUCACUAAGCUAUUACUCUAUAUUUGUCGUCAGAUCCCUAAAAUCCAUUACUGUGCCAAACCAUUAAGACAUCAAAACUUGUUUUUCUUCACAAUUACCCCUCCAGCUCCCAAAAAGCCAUUAUAGAGCCAAACAAGAAGCCAUCACUUUCCUUUGUUCUUCAUCAUAGCUGAUAAAUCUCUAAGGCUAAGCUCUCCUUAGAGAUCUAGUUGUCUUUUGUCCAGAUCAACAAAUCUCUAAGGCUCAUUUUGUUUGCUCACCAUCCCACACCCCCCUUCAUAUCAGCAAUUGAUCUGAUAUCAACUUCCUCUGCUUGUAGCUCGCACUAGUUUUUGUUGAAGCUCCAGAUAUGCUUCAAUGUAUUUGAUAAAGUUAUACACCUUGAUAAUAUCGAUCAUUUGUCUCUAACAAUUCAAAUAUUACUUGAAAAAAAUAUUCAAUGGAAGGUGCUGAAAGCUCGGAUAAAACAUCUUGGAGUAAAGAGAUGCUGCAUACGUUUUGUGAUAUUUGUAUUGUCAUUAUUGAGAAAGGAAUGAGGCCAAGCACUCAUUUCAAUAAGGCCGGAUGGAAAUUUGUUAUGGCUGUCUUCAAAGAGAAAACUGGUCUUACUUUUACUAAGAUUCAACUAAAAAACAAAUGCGAUGGUGCAAAAAAGGAGUGAAUGAUUUGGAAAAAACUGAUAUCUGAAACAAGAGUAGGAUGGAAUAAUGAACUUGGAACUAUUAGUGCUAGUGAUGAGUGGUGGAAAAAAAAACUCAGGAAAUUAGAGGGUCUAAAAAGUUUAGACAUGCUGGGAUUGAACCUUCACUUUGCAAUAAGUUUGAUAGAAUAUUCAGCAAUGUUGUGGCAACUGGACACUAUGUUUGGGCUCCGUCUUCUGGAGUAUUAUUUGAUGAUGAUACUGUGAAUCAAAACACUCAAGAUGUUCAUGUUAAUGAAGAAGAAAAUCUAGAGGAAGGGAGUGGUGAUUCUGAGGAGGAUGCCAUUCCCAAUUACACAGAUGAUGUUUGUAAUUUAGUUGUUGGAGUUAAUAUGGGAAAUAACAGUACCACAAAUAGCAGUGGAAAGAGAAAAGCAAAAGAGCAAUGUAGUGGGCAAAGUACAAAUAAAAGCAAAAAACCUCAUAGAGUUGGAGCUCAAAUGCUUAAACGUUGGGAUAAACUAGUUGAUGAUGUUUCAAUAAGGAAUGAUAGUAGGGAUAAGAUAGGGUGUAGCAUUAGUGAGGUGAUGAUAGAGAUUCAUUCCAUACCCGACAUUAUUUUUGGUGAUGACUUAUAUUGGUUUGCUACGGAGUACUUGUCUAGGAGGAAUAAAAGAGAGAUGUGGGCAGCAAUAGGAGAUCUUGAUAGGAAGUACCAAUAGUUGCAAAAAAUGUAUCAGUGAAGUCAAAAGCAUUAAAUGAAGGUUUGCAGUAAUAAGAUAUACUUCUAAGGCUGAUGUAUUGAAGCAUGAAGAGUAGUAUUGAUAUUGGUAGAGAACAACUUUUCUUAUUUAUGUUUGCG